CUCUCAGUGUGAUAUAUAGACAAAUAGUUUGCUUUAAGGAAGAAGGGGAUAUAGCUUUGCUUGCCUGCAUGGAUUCCUGGUGGGUUCUUCUAGUCCACAAAAUUGAAGGCCGAGUGGGUGGGAGGCAUUUUUGUACUGCUGCUUCCUUUCUCUCUGUUGAUCAAAUCCAGUGUUCUGCUCCUUCUCUUGUUGUAGCUCUCGCGAGGAACGCAGCUUCACUUGGUUGUCGGACGUUCUCUGCAUAGGUGACCUGAAAGGGUAAGCAAACAUAGGAAGAUGAUCUGACGUGCUAUAUACUCUUAUGGUUUCUUAGGGUUUCCAGCAGCUGAUGCUUCUUCGGACUCGACUUUGAUGUUACCAGCAUUCUUUUUGGUGACAACGGAAGCUGCCAAAUUGUCGAGCUGAGAUAAGGUUUGGAUGAUGCAUGCUAGAAUUCCGUAGGAACUGAUCUGCUUCAAAGACCAUCGAAUGCUUUAGUUGUAUGCUUGUGUCUAGCUUUGCCUUGAUCCAUACCCUGCACAUCAGUAGAUGCAGAACGGGCAUGACAUCCUACCAUCAUUACUACAACUUUAGUGUUACGGACAAAGCCUAAUUUUCCUGGAGUUCUUAUGGAUUCAGUACAUAGAGCAUCAUCCACACCUAGCCUUGAAGUCAUGCUAUCUAUAUAAACUGGACUAUUCACUGGAUGAACAAAAGCUUCAUGGUACGUACCUGACAACAUGCUCGACGUGGAUGUCGACGGGAACUCCAUGGCAACUUCUUGUUCAUCGGCAACUUGAAGAAGGUCGUCUU